GACGAACGCUGGCGGCGUGCCUAAUACAUGCAAGUAGGCCGCAGUUGCGAACGGGUGAGUAACGCGUAGGUAACUGCCUAUUAGAGGGGGAUAACUAUUGGAAACGAUAGCUAAUACCGCAUACUAGUAGAUGGACCUGCGUUGUAUUAGCUAGUAGGUAGGGUAAUGGCCUACCUAGUCAACGAUACAUAGCCGACCUUAGAGGGAGAUGGGCCACACUGGGCCUGAGACACGGGCCGGACUCCUACGGGAGGCAGCAGUAGGGAAUCGUCGGGAAUGGGGGGAAGCCUGAGCAAGCAACGCCGCGUGAGUGAAGAAGGUUUUCGGAUCGUAAAGCUCUGUGGUUAAGGAAGCGGUACUUAACCAGAAAGGGACGGCUAACUACGUGCCAGCAGCCGCGGUAAUAC
rnacentral:rRNA from 1 species